UACGUAGGGUGCAAGCGUUGUCCGGAAUUAUUGGGCGUAAAGAGCUCGUAGGCGGUUUGUCGCGUCUGCUGUGAAAACUCGGGGCUUAACCCCGGGCCUGCAGUGGGUACGGGCAGACUAGAGUGCGGUAGGGGAGACUGGAAUUCCUGGUGUAGCGGUGAAAUGCGCAGAUAUCAGGAGGAACACCGGUGGCGAAGGCGGGUCUCUGGGCCGGUACUGACGCUGAGGAGCGAAAGCGUGGGGAGCGAACAGG
rnacentral:rRNA from 1 species